GACGAACGCUGGCGGCGUGCUUAACACAUGCAAGUCGAACGAAGUGGCGAACGGGUGAGUAACGCGUAAUCAACCUGCCCUUCAGAGGGGGACAACAGGUGGAAACGACUGCUAAUAACGCAUACUGAAGGAGGGGUAUGAGUCGGCUUAGCUAGUUGGAGGGGAAACGGCCCACCAAGGUGAUGAUCAGUAGCCGGUCUGAGGGGAGUAACGGCCAAAUUGGGAAUGAUAACCGGGCCAGACUCCUACGGGAUGCAGCAGUGGGGAAUCUUCCGCAAUGGACGAAAGUCUGACGGUGCAACGCCGCGGGAGUGAUGACGGCCUUCGGGUUGUAAAGCUCUGUUAAUCGGGACGCAGUACCGGAAUAGAAAGCCACGGCUAACUACGUGCCAGCCGCCGCGGUAAUAC
rnacentral:rRNA from 1 species